AUGCGUUUGUUUAUUAAUAAUCUCGCCAUGGAAACCGGUAAGCAGCAGAUCCCAAGAGCCUCGCCUUGGCUGUCCCAAGUACUCCCCCCACAAGCACAAGCACUGGAGUCCAAUCCACUCCAGCAGCGGCAGCGGCAAGCAGGGCAGAUUAAAAGGGGGAGGAAAAAGAAAGAAGAAAAAGAGUUUGUCGUUGGGAGAUCAAGCAAUCAAGCAAGCGAAGAAGCAGAGUGUGCCGAGGAAGACGAAGAAGCAAGCAAGGCCAUGGAAAUGGCUGGGGACGUAUGUAUGGAUGUGUUUACCGUAGAUUUUCUUCCAGUGGUGGUAGAAGGCGAGGACGCGGGGGAGGACGUUGUGGGAGCGGUAGGGUGGCGGCAUUGGCUUGGCGGAGGCGGCCACCAUGAGCGCCACCAUCUCCCGGACGCACCCGAUGAAGAAGCGGUAGGGCGGGCCCCUGAUCCCCUGCCGCGCGAAGUGCUCCUCCACGCGCCGCGGCCGCCACCACAGCACCUCCAUCAGCUUGGCCGCCACGUACGCCAGCGCCGCCGCCGCCGCCGCCGCGAUCCACCACCAGCCCAUCAUCCGCGCCAACAGCACCGCUCAAUUCUAUCUAUGCUGGCAUGCAUCAACCAGUAA
rnacentral:rRNA from 1 species